rnacentral:rRNA from 1 species
UGGGGAAUUUUGGACAAUGGGCGAAAGCCUGAUCCAGCAAUGCCGCGUGUGUGAAGAAGGCCUUCGGGUUGUAAAGCACUUUUGUCCGGAAAGAAAUCCUUGGCUCUAAUACAGUCGGGGGAUGACGGUACCGGAAGAAUAAGCACCGGCUAACUACGUGCCAGCAGCCGCGGUAAUACGUAGGGUGCAAGCGUUAAUCGGAAUUACUGGGCGUAAAGCGUGCGCAGGCGGUUUGCUAAGACCGAUGUGAAAUCCCCGGGCUCAACCUGGGAACUGCAUUGGUGACUGGCAGGCUAGAGUAUGGCAGAGGGGGGUAGAAUUCCACGUGUAGCAGUGAAAUGCGUAGAGACGUGGAGGAAUACCGAUGGCGAAGGCAGCCCCCUGGGCCAAUACUGACGCUCAUGCACGAAAGCGUGGGGAGCAAACAGGAUUAGAUACCCUGGUAGUCCACGCCCUAAACGAUGUCAACUAGUUGUUGGGGGAUUCAUUUCCUUAGUAACGUAGCUAACGCGUGAAGUUGACCGCCUGGGGAGUACGGUCG